rnacentral:rRNA from 1 species
UACGUAGGGGGGCAAGCGUUGUCCGGAAUUACUGGGCGUAAAGCGCGUGUAGGCGGGACGGUUAGUCGGACGUGAAAGGCUGGGGCUCAACCCCAGAUCGCCGUUCGAAACUGCCGUGCUUGAGUGUGGGAGAGGUGCGUGGAAUUCCCGGUGUAGCGGUGAAAUGCGUAGAUAUCGGGGAGGAACACCUGUGGCGAAAGCGGCGCACUGGACCACAACUGACGCUGAGGCGCGAAAGCUAGGGGAGCAAACAGG